AUUGAACGCUGGCGGCAGGCCUAACACAUGCAAGUCGAGCGGAUGACGGGAGCUUGCUCCUGGAUUCAGCGGCGGACGGGUGAGUAAUGCCUAGGAAUCUGCCUGGUAGUGGGGGACAACGUUUCGAAAGGAACGCUAAUACCGCAUACGUCCUACGGGAGAAAGCAGGGGACCUUCGGGCCUUGCGCUAUCAGAUGAGCCUAGGUCGGAUUAGCUAGUUGGUGAGGUAAUGGCUCACCAGGGCGACGAUCCGGAACUGGUCUGAGAGGAUGGUCAGUCACGCUGGAACUGAGACACGGUCCAGACUCCUACGGGAGGCAGCAGUGGGGAAUAUUGGACAAUGGGCGAAAGCCUGAUCCAGCCAUGCCGCGUGUGUGAAGAAGAUCUUCGGAUUGUAAAGCACUUUAAGUUGGAAGGAAGGGCAGUAAGCGAAUACCUUGCUGUUUUGACGUUACCGACAGAAUAAGCACCGGCUAACUCUGUGCCAGCCGCCGCAGUAAGAC
rnacentral:rRNA from 1 species